UCGAACGGAUCCUUCGGGAUUAGUGGCGGACGGGUGAGUAACACGUGGGAACGUGCCCUUUGGUUCGGAACAACUCAGGGAAACUUGAGCUAAUACCGGAUGUGCCCUUCGGGGGAAAGAUUUAUCGCCAUUGGAGCGGCCCGCGUCUGAUUAGCUAGUUGGUGGGGUAAAGGCCCACCAAGGCGACGAUCAGUAGCUGGUCUGAGAGGAUGAUCAGCCACAUUGGGACUGAGACACGGCCCAA
rnacentral:rRNA from 1 species